rnacentral:rRNA from 1 species
CCUACCAUACAAGUCGAGCGGAUGAAGGGAGCUUGCUCCCUGAUUUAGCGGCGGACGGGUGAGUAAUGCCUAGGAAUCUGCCUGGUAGUGGGGGACAACGUUUCGAAAGGAACGCUAAUACCGCAUACGUCCUACGGGAGAAAGCAGGGGACCUUCGGGCCUUGCGCUAUCAGAUGAGCCUAGGUCGGAUUAGCUAGUUGGUGAGGUAAAGGCUCACCAAGGCGACGAUCCGUAACUGGUCUGAGAGGAUGAUCAGUCACACUGGAACUGAGACACGGUCCAGACUCCUACGGGAGGCAGCAGUGGGGAAUAUUGGACAAUGGGCGAAAGCCUGAUCCAGCCAUGCCGCGUGUGUGAAGAAGGUCUUCGGAUUGUAAAGCACUUUAAGUUGGGAGGAAGGGCAGUAAGCUAAUACCUUGCUGUUUUGACGUUACCGACAGAAUAAGCACCGGCUAACUUCGUGCCAGCAGCCGCGGUAAUACGAAGGGUGCAAGCGUUAAUCGGAAUUACUGGGCGUAAAGCGCGCGUAGGUGGUUCGUUAAGUUGGAUGUGAAAGCCCCGGGCUCAACCUGGGAACUGCAUCCAAAACUGGCGAGCUAGAGUAUGGCAGAGGGUGGUGGAAUUUCCUGUGUAGCGGUGA